GACCUACAAGUCGAGCAGGGUCGAAAGACGGACUUAGUGAUCCGGUGGUUCCGCAUGGAAGGGCCAUCGCUCAACGGAUAAAAGCUACCCCGGGGAUAACAGGCUUAUCUCCCCCAAGAGUUCACAUCGACGGGGAGGUUUGGCACCUCGAUGUCGGCUCAUCGCAUCCUGGGGCUGUAGUCGGUCCCAAGGGUUGGGCUGUUCGCCCAUUAAAGCGGUACGCGAGCUGGGUUCAGAACGUCGUGAGACAGUUCGGUCCCUAUCCGUCGUGGGCGUAGGAAAUUUGAGAGGAGCUGUCCUUAGUACGAGAGGACCGGGAUGGACAUACCUCUGGUGUACCAGUUGUCGUGCCAACGGCAUAGCUGGGUAGCUAUGUGUGGACGGGAUAAGUGCUGAAAGCAUCUAAGCAUGAAGCCCCCCUCAAGAUGAGAUUUCCCAACUUCGGUUAUAAGAUCCCUCAAAGAUGAUGAGGUUAAUAGGUUCGAGGUGGAAGCAUGGUGACAUGUGGAGCUGACGAAUACUAAUCGAUCGAAGACUUAAUCAA
rnacentral:rRNA from 1 species